rnacentral:rRNA from 1 species
CCUUCCCCUUCGGGGGACAAAGUGACAGGUGGUGCAUGGUUGUCGUCAGCUCGUGUCGUGAGAUGUUGGGUUAAGUCCCGCAACGAGCGCAACCCUUAAGCUUAGUUGCCAUCAUUAAGUUGGGCACUCUAAGUUGACUGCCGGUGACAAACCGGAGGAAGGUGGGGAUGACGUCAAAUCAUCAUGCCCCUUAUGAUUUGGGCUACACACGUGCUACAAUGGACAAUACAAAGGGCAGCGAAACCGCGAGGUCAAGCAAAUCCCAUAAAGUUGUUCUCAGUUCGGAUUGUAGUCUGCAACUUGACUACAUGAAGCUGGAAUCGCUAGUAAUCGUAGAUCAGCAUGCUACGGUGAAUACGUUCCCGGGUCUUGUACACACCGCCCGUCACACCACGAGAGUUUGUAACACCCGAAGCCGGUGGAGUAACCUUUUAGGAGCUAGCCGUCGAAGGUGGGACAAAUGAUUGGGGUGAAGUCGUAACAAGGUAGCCGUAUCGGAAGGUGCGGCUGGAUCACCUCCUUU